rnacentral:lncRNA from 1 species
AAAGUGGUGAGGUUAUUAAAUGAGUGAAGGGUGAGGUGGAGAGAGAAGAGAGGAGGAGUGGGCAUGAAGUGCGAAGAGAGAAUCUGAGGGGAAAACAUGAGAGAAAGAACGUGAGUGAAUGGUAGGUGAGGAUUGAGGCGUGAGGUGUCACAUGAGAGAGUGAGGUGGGAGGACGCGUGUGAGACUGAGAGUGAGGCGCGUGGAUGUAGAUAGUGUGAGAGAGA